AUUGAACGCUGGCGGCAGGCCUAACACAUGCAAGUCGAGCGGAUGAAGGGAGCUUGCUCCUGGAUUCAGCGGCGGACGGGUGAGUAAUGCCUAGGAAUCUGCCUGGUAGUGGGGGAUAACGUCCGGAAACGGGCGCUAAUACCGCAUACGUCCUGAGGGAGAAAGUGGGGGAUCUUCGGACCUCACGCUAUCAGAUGAGCCUAGGUCGGAUUAGCUAGUUGGUGGGGUAAAGGCCUACCAAGGCGACGAUCCGUAACUGGUCUGAGAGGAUGAUCAGUCACACUGGAACUGGGACACCGUCCAGACUCCUACGGGAGGCAGCAGUGGGGAAUAUUGGACCAUGGGCGAAAGCCUGAUCCAGCCAUGCCGCGUGUGUGAAGAAGGUCUUCGGAUUGUAAAGCACUUUAAGUUGGGAGGAAGGGCAGUAAGUUAAUACCUUGCUGUUUUGACGUUACCAACAGAAUAAGCACCGGCUAACUUCGUG
rnacentral:rRNA from 1 species